rnacentral:rRNA from 1 species
UAAUACGUAGGAGGCGAACGUUAUCCGGAAUUACUGGGCGUAAAGCGCACGCAGGCGGCUUCGUAAGUCCGACGUGAAAGCUCCCGGCUUAACUGGGAGAGGCCGUUGGAUACUGCGGAGCUCGAGGUUAGGAGAGGAAAGUGGAAUUCCCGGUGUAGUGGUGGAAUGCGUAGAUAUCGGGAGGAACCCCAGUGGCGAAAGCGACUUUCUAGCCUACACCUGACGCUGAGGUGCGAAAGCGUGGGGAGCGAACAGGAUUAGAUACCCUGGUAGUCCACGCUGUAAACGAUGUGAACUAGGUGUUAGCGGUUUCGACCCCGCUAGUGCCGAAGCUAACGCGUUAAGUUCACCGCCUGGGGACUACGGCCGCAAGGCUAAAACUUAAAUGAAUUGACGG